UCAUAUGCUUGUCUCAAAGAUUAAGCCAUGCAUGUCUCAGUCCAUGCCGAAAUAAGGUGAAACCGCGAAUGGCUCAUUAAAUCAGUUAUGGUUUCUUAGAUCGUACUUUUUUACUUGGAUAACUGUGGUAAUUCUAGAGCUAAUACAUGCAGCAGAGCUCCGACCUUCGGGAACGAGCGCUUUUAUUAGACCAAGACCAAUCGGGCUUCGGCCCGUCUACCAUGGCGACUCUGGAUAACUUUGGGCAAAUCGCACGAUCUCGUAUCGGCGAUGUUUCUUUCAAGUGUCUGCCUUAUCAACUUUCGAUGGUAGGUUAUGCGCCUACCAUGGUCGUAACGGGUAACGGGGAAUCAGGGUUCGAUUCCGGAGAGGGAGCCUGAGAAACGGCUACCACAUCCAAGGAAGGCAGCAGGCGCGCAAAUUACCCACUCCCGGCACGGGGAGGUAGUGACGAAAAAUAACAAUACGGGACUCUUUUGAGGCCCCGUAAUUGGAAUGAGUACACUCUAAAU
rnacentral:rRNA from 1 species